GGUAGGUGGUCGAGUGGUUAAAGGCACCAGACUGUAAAUCUGGCCACGCAAGUGUACGAUGGUUCGAAUCCAUCCCUGCCC
rnacentral:tRNA from 2 species